rnacentral:rRNA from 1 species
AAUACAUGCAAGUCGAACGGUAACAGUGAGGAAGCAAUCCUAGCUGACGAGUGGCGGACGGGUGAGAAAGUUUGGGAAUCUGUCCUGCGAGAGGGGGAUAGCAGCUGGAAACGGCUGAUAAAACCGCGUACGCUCUGAGGAGGAAAGUGACGGGAUCAGCGAUGACCGUCAGCUGCAGGGUGAGCCCAAAUGGGAUUAGCUGGUAGGGGUGGUAAAGGCACACCUAGGCGAUGAUCUCUAGCUGGUUUUAGCGGAUGACCAGCCACAUUGGAACUGAGACACGGUCCAAACUCCUACGGGAGGCAGCAGUAGGGAAUAUUGCACAAUGGAGGGAACUCUGAUGCAGCCAUGCCGCGUGUGUGAAGAAGGCCUUUCCGGGGUUGUAAAGCACUUUUAUUAUAGAGAAGAGUGUAUGUAAUAAUAAGACAUACAUGAGAUGUAACAUAAUGAAUAAGGACCGGCAAACUCCGUGCCAGCAGCGGC